GAGCGGGGGCCGCCGGGGCGUGUGCGGCCGCCGCGGCGACAGCCUCCAGCCCGCGGGACGUGCGCUCAGGGCCGUGCUGACCGCGCGGCGACUCGCGGGGACGGCAGCGUCCCGGGGGCUCCGCGCGGCCUCACCCGGGACGAGAAGCUGCGGAGCUGGACGGGCCGGAGGCUCCUGCUCCGGACACAGCGCCCGGGAUGCUGGCGGCGCCCCGCGGCCCGGCCCGGCCCGUACUCCGAGACCAGGAGACCGCCCGCACCACGUCCCCCAGCCCUGGGCCCGAGGGGGAGCGGCCUCCGCGGGGGCCUCGCAGGCCAUGGCGGGAAUCUACGGGCACCCUGGACGCGUCGCAGAGCACCAGGAGUCUGUGCCCCUUCCCCGCCCUGGGGGCUGCGCACACGGCCAGCCCCUGCACGUCUGAGGGGCUGGCCUGAGCUGCCCCCACGCGCCCCGGGACUCCCACGUGUGACCGCUCCUCUCCGCACACACCCCCCGCACCAGCCUGUCCGGGCUCUAGCCCCAUCGCCAUCCCCGACACGUGGCGGCCUCGGCGCCUCAGGUGUGCGCAGCCCAACGUCCCGCGGGAGCACAAGAAAAGGCCUCGCUGCCCCCAGGCCCCCCUCCAGCGUGGACAGCUGCGUGGGGCGCUCCCCACCGCCCCCCCCCCCAUGGACAUCAUUUCCGGCCCGUCUCUGUGUCCGGCCGCUCUCCACGUGCUGCUCAGGGAGCUGCCCUGGCCCUCACACAUCCUCCUGGGGGAACACUCAGUGCCGUCCCCCAGCAGAGGAUGAGCUGUCCACCGGGUCAGGGGCCACACACAACACAGGGGCCUUCCUACCACCCCAACGCGGUGUGCAUGUCCUGCAUCCACAUGCCAGUGGUGCCGCCACCCCUGCCGAGUGGAACCAGGGUCAGCUCAGCAGGCACUGCAGAAUGCCAAGCCCUCAGAGCAGCCUGUGCCCCUACGAGCCCAAUGCCCAGACGGCCUCGUGGUCCAAUGCUUACAUCACCUCCCUUUGUGGUGCGUGUGCCUUGGGGUGUGGUCCCGUAGACUCCCUACUGACGUGCUGGGACCCCCAAGUGGCAUGAGGCUCAUGAAGCAGUGACCCCACGCGGCCUGAGGGUGUAGCCAGACCAGAAUUGGCUGUGUGCUGAAGUGUCCUGAGCUUGCACAGGUGGCAGACCUAGGCCCGACUAUGUGCAGGCUGUGGUGCCCGUCUCCGCACUUGGGGACCACAUGGACAGGCCACUGGCACCCUCCAGUCCUGUCUGGUAGCAGGAAGCCUAAGGCAAUAAAGCACAGUUGUGCCUCACCAGAGAUGAGACGUUCAGCGCAGGAUGACCCCUUCCAAGGACUUGUCCCGCUGGACUGGCCAUGGCCACUGGCCCUGGGAGGGGGAAAUGGGGGGCGGGUGAGGGAGGCCAGCACUGAGCUAUCCCUUCUUCACAGGUGACCAGGCAAAGUUGCUCUACCUUUUUUUUUUUUUUUUUUUUUUUUUAAUUUAUUCCUGAGAGAGACAAAGUGGCAGAGACACAGGCAGAGGGAGAAGCAGGCUCCAUGCAGGAGCCCGAUGCGGGACUCGAUCCCAGGUCUCCAGGAUCACACCCUGGGCUGAGCCACCCAGGGAUCCCUGCUCUACCUUUCUUGUCUCAAAGUAAGCAUCUGCCCGAGGGAGGCAGCUCUGCCAGCCAGGGGGCUGCUGGGAAAGGGGACAGUAGGCAGCCUGCAAACAGGAGUCAGAAAGCCCAUGACACGACCGGCCUCACCUGCACCUUCCAUGCAUCACAGGCUCCCUCCACAGACCUUCAUGAGAUGGGGCCCCUGUAACUUCGAAGGUUCAUAUGUUUUAGAAACCUCAAGUCCCUCUGGCUGGUGUUGGGAGCUGCUUUAUGGGUCUCACCUUCCCUGAGACCUCAAGCCCCCGGGCCAGGUGCCCAGAGGGGCCUGGCAUUGUUCACUGGCCACAGAGCUGGGACAAGGAGCUGAGUGGCCCAGCGCGGCCUCCCUGACAUUGCCUUAAGAGGUCUUGCAGGCCGGAGCUGCCCUCCCGCCCAGGCUGCCCUAGAAUCGCGUCUUACGUUAAUUGCACACGUCAGCCUAAGAGCGCUUGGGUUAUUUUUGAGUCGUUUUCAACCUCCCAAAGAUUAUGGAAAAACACUCUCAUUUCUUUUAUGAGCUCUGAUUAACAAGAGAAAUAAAAGAUUUCUUUUCUGGUUUUCCAGGCCUGGUAUUUGCCCGCCAGACCAUGCAGGGGCAGGAAACGAGUCAGUGUGUUCCCGUGGGGCUACCUGGCUGUGGUCACCAUACCUGUUGAGAGCCCUCGGGCUGUGUCUGUGGCCUGGGGGUGCGGUGGGUCUGACCCCCCAGCAGUCACGCAGAGCUGCAGUCUUGCCUCCGGCCUCUCUGGGCUGUGUCCUGCUCUCAGGUGGCCCUGGGUGGCCAGCGUGCCAUUCAGAAGCCUUUGCCAGCUCAGAGUGGUGGGGGGGGCAGUGUGCUGGGGCCUUCCCCCCUCCUCCUGAGCCCUCUUCAUGGCCCCCCACACACACUGGGUGUUUAUUCUCUUGAGCACUGAAAUCAGCACUACUGGGGGAGGUCCUGCCACGGUCCCAUUGUGCCCACCACGGCCCCCAGAGGCCUAGCCCGCACUGCCCGCCUGCCCACUUGGCAGGAGCCCAGCAGCGGGGCCCGGAGCGGCUGUUUCUAGGCCAUGAUGAGCAUGUUGGGUCCCACCAGCAGCCCAGAUAGUGGAGCUAAUUUCAGCACGGCGUCUAGUCUCUGUGGACUGGCUCUGGGCAUCUGUAAGGUGGCAUCCCCUGGAGGAUAUGCUGUCACUGCCCCCCACCCCAUCCAGCGUCCCAGGAAGGUGAGAAACCUGGGUCCUCAGGCCCUGGACAACAGUUGUGCACCAGCAGGGGUGCCACACAGCCUUGUGGCCGCCAUCACGGGGGGAUGUGAUCAGCUCAGGGCCACUUCUGAGCCUGGAGAGGCCACGCAGUGGCAGGUGUGGCCGGCGCCCAGAGACCA
rnacentral:lncRNA from 1 species